GGGGAUUUAGCUCAGUGGUAGAGCACUUGCCUAGCAAGCACAAAGCCCUGGGUUCGGUCCCCAGCUCCG
rfam:Rattus norvegicus chromosome 1, whole genome shotgun sequence.